GGGGGGGGGUGAGCCCCCCUCCCAACCUGCCUGCUUCUGCCGGACGUGGAGCUUCCACUCCGGAUUGCUGCUCUGACCCAUAGCUCUAGGGGCGCGCUUUCGGAAAGGGGAGGAGGGGCGACAGGGAAACCCCCCCCCCCGGAUGUUGCAGGAAAGGAAAGGAGAAUCGGGAGGGAGGACAAAGAGGUAAAGGGGUCGCGGAGGAGAGGGGAGAGAAGGAUCCAGAGACCCCCGCCAGCUCCCCAAAGCGCCUUCCGUGGGCCCCGUGGCAGGGCCUGGAUCCCAGCACGCGUGCUGCAAAGGUGGCUUUCCUUGGCCCCUUAGGCGCCUUGGCAGGGGCGGACAUGGGGCCUCCACCCAGGGAGUCCCCACGAGGGCCCCGUUUCCCAUACGCAGGCAUCCCCCGGGCGCUGUGGGGUUCCCGGGAAGAGAGUCGGGCCUUGAAAGGGUUAACGGGCGCUACAGACCCCACCCCCGUCCCUCCCCAUCUCGUCUUGGGGUGGCCCCUCCGGAUGGAAAGAUGGGGCGCGCAUGGCGAGGGUUGGGCCGGGCCAAGGGGGCCUCUGGGUGCAGGGGAGACUCUGGGAGAGAGGGAGGGGGUCGAGGAAGUGGGGGGAAGGGAGGGGGCAUCCCAGCACCAAUGGGGGGGGAGAGCUAGGAAGACCAGUCUUUGGGGAGACAUCUCCAUCGUGGUGCCCGCAGGGAUUCUCUGGAGGGGCCACCUUGGCUUCUCCCUCCCUCCCAGGAAUGGGACACCCCUUCAAGGCGACCAGAGUGGGAUCCCUGGAAAGUGGGGGGUCGUGUCCCCCCACCCCUUCAUUCCUGCAAGCUCCAUCCUCUUCCCACCCCAUAAGUCCCUGCCCUGCCCAGACGCAGUGGUUCCUCCAAUUCCAUCCAUUGGUCCCCCUGGAGAGGAGAGGAAAUCCCAAGAGGAAGAGGGGAGGGGAGAGGCCUUCUCAGAAGCGGCUCUAUGUUUCCGUAAUCCCACCCAGGAAGCAGCCAGAAACCUUUUCCUCUCUCUCAGGCUUCCAUCUUUAAUUGUCCUUUCUUGAGGAUGAGGAUAAUGUACACCUGUCAUCAGAAAUAGGGGUGCAGAGUCCAUGGAAUGGCUCUCAGGAUUGAUACAGAAGCUGCACCUCAAAAGCAUUUCUGUUCCUCUUAUUCUUUGUAGGCAAUGUCAGAGUGACUGACAAGCUGAGAUACAAUCCAUCAGCAUCCGAUGACAGCGACUGCAUGAAUCUUCCCAGUCAAAGGACCCAUUUUCAUGAUAGACAGUGCCUGUGGCUGGAGGCUCUACACACCGGGUGUGCCUGUGCAGGCCAAAGACUGCCAGUAUUAGCACAGGUGAGGUGUGUGACCUCCCCAAAUGUACAGACUGUAUGUGAAUGAGAGUUUGUGGGUGGGAUUAUAGUUUAUGGCAACCCUGUGAUUUUCUCCACCCAUAACAUUUUGUAAGCUAAUAUUGCAGUAUGAAUUUCAAAAUAACUUUAAAAAAUCACAAGAUGAUGAUGAUAAUAAUAAUAAUAAUAAUAAUAAUAAUAAUAAUAAUAAAAUUUUAUUUAUACCCCACCCUCCCCAGCCAAGGCCGUGCUCAGGGGGAUGAAAAGAAUGAUUGCAGAAUUUAUGCCCUGCCCAUCUGGUUGGGUUUCCCCAGCCACUCUGGGAAGCUUACAGUACAUAUACAAGACAGUAAAACAUCCAACAUUAAAAACCUCCUGAUACAGCUGUCUUCUAAAUGUCCGAUAGUUGCCUACCUCCUUGCCCUCUGAAGGGAGGGCAUUCCAUGGGGCAGGAGGCCCUCUGCCUGGUUCUCUGGAACUUCACUUCUAGCAGCAAGGGAACCAGCAGAAGACCCUCGGAGGAGGACCUCCUUGUCCGGACUGAGCGAUGGGGGUCAAGAUGCUCCUUCAGGUCCACAGCGCCGAGGCUGUUGAGGGCUUUAGGUUGCAGAUCUUGCUCCUCCAUAACGAUCUCCAGAGCAAGUGUGAGAUAUAAUUAGCAGAGUAGCAAAAAACGCUCUGAGGCAGAAAAAAAUAAUUCAGCUGAGAAAUCUAUUACAGUGGUACCUCUGGUUACGAACGGGAUCUGUUCUGGAGGCCAGUUCGCAACAUGAGCAGAAUGCAACCCACAUCUGUGCAUGCAUGGGUCACGAUUCGCUGCUUCUGCAAAUGUGCGUGACCUGAUUUUGCACGUCUGCGCAUGCACGAGCGGCAAAACCCGGAAGUAACUGGGAUGCCACGGGACACAACCCGAAAAGGCACAACCUGAAGCAAACAUAACAUGAGGUAUGACUGUACUGAAGACAGAUAAGCAUUACAGGAUCCAAAAAUAGCAAAAAUGUAACUUACAGUAAAGCCCUAACUUAGCAAACCAAAACAGCACUCAAGUAAGAAACAGACAAGCGGAGUAGAGUAAUAUCAGAAUAGGAAGUGGGAGCAGGCGCAUUUCAAUACUGUAAUUUAUAUAUAAUUCAAUGUCAGAGAAACCCUGGGACUAGAUAACAAGCCUCCAGGUGGACGUGCCCCACCUGCCCUUCACUUUCCUCUUCCGCACGGGCAGAAUCUGCCUUCUGGACUGUGGGAUUCACGGUUGUUCUCCUCCUCUCCAUCCACCAGGGCUUGACUUCAGGUGCAGCAGAAUUCCCCAGCCCCCCAAGGAUUUGAGACCCAUCAGCUUUCCUCACCUGGUUUAGCCGGCCGGUUGAAGCCGUUGCUUGAACCCCUGUUGCAUGCUGACAGCUUCUGGAAGCCACAGGUGAGAGCUGAGUGCAGGGUGGGCACCAAGGGUGGAAAAAUGACCCCAGGAGGUGCAGGACAUGUCCCCCACCUAAGGAACUACUGCUCCCCAACACCCCAUGACAUCUAGAUUCAGG